UACGUAGGGACCAAGCGUUGUUCGGAUUUACUGGGCGUAAAGGGCGCGUAGGCGGCGCGGUAAGUCACUUGUGAAAUCUCUGAGCUUAACUCAGAACGGCCAAGUGAUACUGCAGUGCUAGGGUGUGGAAGGGGCAAUCGGAAUUCUUGGUGUAGCGGUGAAAUGCGUAGAUAUCAAGAGGAACACCUGAGGUGAAGACGGGUUGCUGGGCCAACACUGACGCUGAUGCGCGAAAGCCAGGGGAGCAAACGGG
rnacentral:rRNA from 1 species